rnacentral:rRNA from 1 species
GCCUACGGGGCGCAGCAGUGGGGAAUAUUGCACAAUGGGGGAAACCCUGAUGCAGCGACGCCGCGUGAGUGAAGAAGUAUUUCGGUAUGUAAAGCUCUAUCAGCAGGGAAGAAAUACUGACCUUACGGUCAGCAGACGGUACCUGACUAAGAAGCCCCGGCUAACUACGUGCCAGCAGCCGCGGUAAUACGUAGGGGGCAAGCGUUAUCCGGAUUUACUGGGUGUAAAGGGAGCGUAGACGGCAGCGCAAGUCUGAAGUGAAAUCCCAUGGCUUAACCAUGGAACUGUUUUGGAAACUGUGCAGC